GAGAAGCGGCGGAUGGUUUUUAAACAGCCUGAUGACUCACUCAGCCUUGAGUCUCUCCACCCUGAGGCUGGCUGUGGAUCAGGCUUUCUUUGGGGGUGGAAGGACCGUGGCUCCACAGAUGAGCAAAAGAAAUGAAAGAGCCCCCUCCUUUGAGUGCGCUUACAGCCUGGCGAGGAGGGCAGAUGCGUAAAUGAUAACCUCAGAACAUGAUGCGCCGGGGUAAUGAGUUAGCCCAUGUCUGUGGAUAUUUGAUCAACUGCUGUGUGUUCCGCGCCGAUGAAGGGACAGGAUGUGGUACUGCCUUCGAAGAAAGAGGUGGUGGAUGAGGGAGGAAAUAAAGGGAAAGGAAAAUUUCAGGUGGUGAUAAGAAAAUGUAAAACAGCAGAAGGUGAUCAGGGAAGGCAGCCCACCAGCCCAGGUGGCAGGGCAGACAGUGGGCAGGGAGACAGGGCGUCCUGGGUGGGUCCCCUGGGGCCCAGCAGCCUGGCCGCCUCCUCCCAGAGUUGCCCCCGUCACACCUGAGAACAAACCCAGGGCUGACGUGGAUUCCUGACUUGGAGCCCGAGCAGGGGGAGAGAGGGGAGAAAAAACACCCAUCUGUUCUCCUCUGAUGGAACGCGAUUCUUCACCCAGUGCUUAAAACCCCGCGCUUCUCCCAUUUCCUCUCGGCAGCCACGUGAUGUGAUAUAAAUCGCUGAAAAUGGGUUUUCCCAGCCAGUUGCUGUGUUGUUUUAAUAAUGGUUCAUUUUCUGCCCUGGGGAAAAAAUAUUCCGUGGAGAAUUUGGGAGCUGGGGGCUCAUUUUGUCUGUAUGUGUGUGUGUGUGUCUCUGUAGGGUUGGGGGUGCCUGUUGGCCCUGGGCAGGCUCCAGCUCACCUUUCCCAGCCCAGAAUACAUGAUGGAACUCUAUGGUCUUGUCCAGGUUCAGGAUCAGGCACAAGCAUGCCCUGACCUGGACCUCAGUGACUGGACAUCCCUGGGACACACCUGGGGCACACCUGGAGCGUACCUUCCAGGCUUCCGGCCACUAGUCCAUCUCGAUCCUGCUCAACCAGUGUCAGAAGGACAACAGGCAUCUGAAUGGAAUCACUUUUCCUGCUGAAACACAAAAUUGGGGACACGCACAGGGUGCUCACAACGGGCCAGGCCUGAUCCUCUGCACUUCACACUCAUUAUGAACUCACAACAGCCAGUGCUGCUGGCCAAGAAUGGUGCUUCCUGCCCAUCUUGUGGGUGAGGUCAUGUGACUAGUUCUAACCAAUGAGCUUCGAGUGGAACUGACGCACAUUAUUCCCAUGCUAGAGCAUCUAACUGUCUGUGCAGGAACUUCCAAAGCUCUUAUGUCCCUCUGGUGUGACAGCCAGAAAUGUUCCAGAAUGUUCCAGAAUGUGAAUGCUCCACUAAUGACUAUGAUGUGCAAAGCCUCCCCUCAGUGACCCAAAACAGACACGAAACAUGAAUGAGAAAUAAACUUUGUGAUUUUCAGGCACUGAGACAUUGUUUUUUUUUUGUUUCUGCAGCUGGGCCUAGUCUUGCCUAAUGGUUUGAAAUUACACCCCCAUUUUACAGGUAAGAAAACUGACGCAAAGUUUAAGUCACUUGCCCUUAGUCACACAGCUGGUAAGUGACACUGUCAGAGAUAGUGUCUUGGCAACCUGACUCCAGGGACUCUGCUCUGAUUUCUAAACUGUCUCUCUGGGUGAGAUGCAGUCAUCCUGGGGACCAGGAAUGUAUGGAAAGUUCAUAAACCACAGUGGAUUCUGGGUGGGGUUGUUUCCUCCUAUCCUGUUCCCUCUGAUUGGGGAUUUUCAUUUCUUUCUCUCAUGAGCACUGGCUCUCCUGGAAGGUUUGGCUCUAUCAAAUCCUCUGGAGGAGACACAGGAGGCUGGGUAAAAGGACAGGGAGCUUUCUCCUCCCCAGUCCUCACUCAGAAAGUUUAAUUCAUUUGGCAUAAACUUGACCUUCUGGGGGCCCAAUCCUUCCAGUCCUAGCAGACCUCCACUUCCUUCCCCACCUCCUACACCUUCACUGUGGGAGCCCCAACCCUUCCUCCGCUGCUGCCUGUAUGAGCUGGUGAUCAAGUAUUACAGGGGAGAAAAUUUCCAAGGCCAGAGAGCAGAGCUCUGAGCUGAGGUUUUAGAAAUAUCCUUUCACCUCUUCACCCAGCCUGCUUCCCUUCCUCUUUCAGGGCCUGCGAGGUCCUCCUGAAGCCCCCAGAGAACCAGAACCAUGCCCCCACCUGCCCUCAGAGAUUCCCAGGGAUACCUACCGAGGCAGGGCUCAGGACACCUCUAUGCAAACCUCAGCAACUCCUGCCCUGACCAGUUAACUCAAUACUUACUCUACAUUAAAUACCAAUUGGGCCAAUUUUCUGCUGUAAUUAAAACCUCAGCAGAUGGGUUCCCUGCUCAUCAGUGAUGAGUUUAUUAAUGUCCAGCUCUGAAGGAAUGUGGGGCAGAGAGAAAAACAGAAAGGGGCUUGCUCUGGUACUGGGAGAGUAGAUGCUGGGAGAGGCUGAGUUUGAAACUGUUCCGUCUCCUUGGUUGGCUCCAGGCAGGGGGCAGGCAGCCAUGUUUACGAAAGUGUCUGCAUCUCUGGGUUUUCUGUUUCUACAGUGGAAACUCGGAAAUAUCUGCCCUGCCCCUCUUAUCUGUUGCAAACCUGGGCCUGCCGUAUAUAACUGAUCCUUUUUUGAAAAUCACAUCUUCUUGACUACUGACAAACAGUGUGUCUGGAACCUGUAAACACAGCCCCUUAUAGCUCAGCAAUCUGGGCUUAUUUGUUAUGUAGCAUAACCUAGGCUGUCCUGACUACUACAUAUUAUAACUCCACUUACAGACAGUGAAACUAAGGUCCAGUUUGCUUACUAAUAUAGGAGAGACCAAGCUAGUUCUUGCCAACGGAGCCUGGAGACAGACCUCUGAGUUGGAUAAGAGAAGCAGGCCAGGUUAGUCCUUAGCUCUGCUCAAGGUGAGUAGUUCACGACUGCUAGUGGGUUGGAAGCUCACUGCCUAGUACACUUGUGGCAGCUCAAGCAAUCAGCUCCUUCUGAUCAUCAGAGAGCAUCUGCACAGUGGAGCAUGAUUCAGCCCCAAGAAGUCACUCUACUUUUUUUUUUGUAAUUAGGAGAUUUUAU
rnacentral:lncRNA from 1 species